AACGGUGAACCAGGUGCUUGCUCUUGGGGAUCAGUGGCGAACGGGUGAGUAACACGUGAGCAACCUGCCCCUGACUCUGGGAUAAGCGCUGGAAACGGCGUCUAAUACUGGAUAUGAACCACAAACGCAUGGUUACUGGUUGGAAAGAUUUUUUGGUUGGGGAUGGGCUCGCGGCCUAUCAGCUUGUUGGUGAGGUAAUGGCUCACCAAGGCGUCGACGGGUAGCCGGCCUGAGAGGGUGACCGGCCACACUGGGACUGAGACACGGCCCAGACUCCUACGGGAGGCAGCAGUGGGGAAUAUUGCACAAUGGGCGGAAGCCUGAUGCAGCAACGCCGCGUGAGGGAUGACGGCCUUCGGGUUGUAAACCUCUUUUAGCAGGGAAGAAGCGAAAGUGACGGUACCUGCAGAAAAAGCGCCGGCUAACUACGUGCCAGCAGCCGCGGUAAUACGUAGGGCGCAAGCGUUAUCCGGAAUUAUUGGGCGUAAAGAGCUCGUAGGCGGUUUGUCGCGUCUGCUGUGAAAUCCCGAGGCUCAACCUCGGGCCUGCAGUGGGUACGGGCAGACUAGAGUGCGGUAGGGGAGAUUGGAAUUCCUGGUGUAGCGGUGGAAUGCGCAGAUAUCAGGAGGAACACCGAUGGCGAAGGCAGAUCUCUGGGCCGUAACUGACGCUGAGGAGCGAAAGGGUGGGGAGCAAACAGGCUUAGAUACCCUGGUAGUCCACCCCGUAAACGUUGGGAACUAGUUGUGGGGUCCAUUCCACGGAUUCCGUGACGCAGCUAACGCAUUAAGUUCCCCGCCUGGGGAGUACGGCCGCAAGGCUAAAACUCAAAGGAAUUGACGGGGACCCGCACAAGCGGCGGAGCAUGCGGAUUAAUUCGAUGCAACGCGAAGAACCUUACCAAGGCUUGACAUAUACGAGAACGGGCCAGAAAUGGUCAACUCUUUGGACACUCGUAAACAGGUGGUGCAUGGUUGUCGUCAGCUCGUGUCGUGAGAUGUUGGGUUAAGUCCCGCAACGAGCGCAACCCUCGUUCUAUGUUGCCAGCACGUAAUGGUGGGAACUCAUGGGAUACUGCCGGGGUCAACUCGGAGGAAGGUGGGGAUGACGUCAAAUCAUCAUGCCCCUUAUGUCUUGGGCUUCACGCAUGCUACAAUGGCCGGUACAAAGGGCUGCAAUACCGUGAGGUGGAGCGAAUCCCAAAAAGCCGGUCCCAGUUCGGAUUGAGGUCUGCAACUCGACCUCAUGAAGUCGGAGUCGCUAGUAAUCGCAGAUCAGCAACGCUGCGGUGAAUACGUUCCCGGGUCUUGUACACACCGCCCGUCAAGUCAUGAAAGUCGGUAACACCUGAAGCCGGUGGCC
rnacentral:rRNA from 1 species